AUAAUACUCCCUUCGUCCCAAAAUAAGUGUCUUAACUUUGUACUACAAAGUUGUACUAAGGUUAAGACACUUAUUUUGGGACGGAGGGAGUACUAA
rnacentral:pre_miRNA from 1 species